AUUCCAGCUCCAAUAGCGUAUAUUAAAGUUGUUGCAGUUAAAAAGCUCGUAGUUGAAUUUCUGGUGGGAGUGUACAGUCCGACACUGAGUGUUGGUUCUUGUGUGUCUCCGGCCAUCCUUGGAGUGAAUCUGUCUGGCAUUUAGUUGUUGGGCAGAGUAUCUCCAUCGUUUACUGUGAGGAAAGGAAAGUGUUCAAAGCAGGCUUACGCCGUUGAAUCUUUUAGCAUGGAAUAAUAAGAUAGGUUCUUGAUACUAUUUUGUUGGUUUCGAACACCGGAGUAAUGAUUAACAGGGACAGUCAGGGGCACUCGUAUUCCGCCGAGAGAGGUGAAAUUCUCAGACCAGCGGAAGACGAACCACUGCGAAAGCAUUUGCCAGGGAUGUUUUCAUUG
rnacentral:rRNA from 1 species